rnacentral:rRNA from 1 species
UUGUCUAAAGGAUUAAGCCAUGCAUGCGAAAGUAUAGACUUGUUAUAGAAGUCGAAACUGCGAACGGCUCCUUAAAACAGUUAUAAUCUACUUGGGAUUUUGUACAGGGAUACCUACGGAAACGCUGUAGCUAAUACUUGGUUUUGCCCGACAUUGCAUAUUUAUAUGCGGUGUUGGGUGUAUUCGUUGGCUUUAGCGGUAUCGUGUAUUACACUGUGGAAUCACAACGAAGAAGUGACGCGUCCAUUUUUUAAAGUGGUUAGCGCGUACCAAUCGAGUUUCUGAUCUAUCAGCUGGUCACGAAGGUAUUGUCUUGGUGAGGCUAUGACGGAUAACGGGGAAUUAGAGUUCGAUUCCGGAGAGGGCGCCUGAGAGAUGGCGACUAUAACUACGGUUAGCAGCAGGCGCGAAAAUUGCCCAAUGCCGACAAGGCGAGGCAGCGACCAGACAUACUGGGCUUCGGCCAAAUUUUGGUUGAUGUACCGGAUUCGGUCUUCUUUAAAAAAGAGGACGAGUGGAAGUUUAGAUCAAGUUGAAGUGCCAGCAUUCGCGGUAAUACUUCCUUAAACGAAUGUAUGUUAAAGUUGUUGCGGUUAAAACGCUCGUAGUUGAUUAUUCUCUACACAGGUCAGGCCGCUCGUUUCUCAGAAACGCAGAAUGGCUAGACGGUGUAGAUUGACAAAACCAACGUGAAUUUUACAUUUGCAUUGGUUCUGUCGUUACCUUGAGUAAAUUAGAGUGUUCAGAGCGGGCUUUUCCGUUUGAAUAUCCCAGCAUGGAAUAACUGCAUUGCGCCAGACUUGUUCUAUGUGCGAAAUCGCGCAAGUCUGGUGCCGAUUAAUAGGAGCAGUUGGGGGCAUCCGUACUCCGGAGCUAGAGGUGAAAUUCUGUGACUUCCGGAAGACGCUCGACUGCGAAGGCACUUGCCCAAAAUGCGUCCAUUAAUCAAGAGCGAAGUUAUGGGCAUCGAAAAAGAUCAGAGACCUUUGUAAUCCAUAAAGUAAACUAUGCCAUCCGGGGCGGAGUCGGUCACUUUGAUAAAAAAUGGAACUUAAGUAGUAUUUUCCUCCGGGAAGAUACUAUUUGCUUUCUUUUUUUUUUAUCGCUUGGGGUCGGUUCCGCCCCCGUGAGAAAUCCGAGAUUUUGGGUUCCGGGGCGAGUAUAAGCGCAAGCUAGAAAGUUAAAAGAAUUGACGGAGGGGCACCACAAAGCGUGGAGCUUGCGGCUUAAUUUGACUCAACACGGGAAACCUCACUAGUGUAAGACAGCGGGAGGAUUGACAGGUUUGCAGACCUUUCUCGAUUCGCUGGCGGGUGAUGCAUGGCCGUUCCUAGCUCUUGGCGUGAGCUGUCUGGUUAAUUCCGAUAACGAGCGGGACCUCCCCCUCUGUUUGUCCGGCUUCCGCAGAGAGGUGACGUUUUGAAAAAGAGGUCCUUAUCUUUACUAAUUUUCGAAUUAGUUUAGUUAAUGCGACUUUUUUGGAAAGAUGUCACUUCGGAGGCUAACUAAAAAUGGUGGCACAGAGGGACGUCGCGUGUUUAACGCGAGGCAGGGAGGCCACAACAGGUCUGUGAUGUCCUCAGAUAUGCUAGGCUGCACGCGUGCUACACUGGCGCGCGCAACGGGCUUUAUAUAUAAUGAAACGUACUCUUUUUUAUAAAGAUGAACGUCUCAUUUUCCUCUCUCGACAGAGCGGGGGAAUCCUUAGUGCGCGCCGUGACGGGGAUCGAAUCUUGCAAUUAGGAUUCUUGAACGAGGAAUGCUUAGUAAGCGCAACUCAUCAGGUUGCGCUGUAUGCGUAACUGCCCUUUGCACACACCGCCCGUCGUUGCUUUUAAUGGAGUGCGAAGUGACUUGUGCGGAGUGAUUUUUUAGUAUUAUAUAUUAAAAGACGCGAAGCGCCGGGAACUUUGUACUUUAGAGAAAG